UAUAUAUAUAUUAUACUCACAAGAGCAAAUCCAGUAAGCUGUAGUUGUUAUGGUGACUAUAGUGCCCCUUUAAAAAGCAGAACUUUCUCUUACUCUUCACAAGAUAGACUUGCAGCAACCAAUAAGUAUAGCACUGGGAGAUAGGUCACUGUUUUGAUAUUGAAGUGAACUUGUAUAAAUGUUAAGGUCCUUAAUUUAGAGAAAAAAAAAAUCAAUU